CCAGAGAAAAGGUACUGGUGACCUAACCCAUCUUCUGCUUCUAAUUUGAUGCCUAAUUUUUGUCACUUCCAGCACAAAACCGAAGAAGACACGGCAUUCACCACUUCACAGCUACUGAACCAAGCGCCUGCAUUUGUUCUGCUCAAUUCAUGGAACUGGAGAAGGACCACAAAGGUUCUGUACAGUCAGGAAAUGAACAUCCUCGCUCUUGUUGGAACGUUUCAGCGGGGACCCCCACUUCGCUCCAGGCCAUCACUCAAACACUGGCACCUCAGAGGUCGGCAGGGCGCAGGCGGGUGGGCGUGUUAGGUUCAGAACAGAGCCCAACCCGUGGGAAGAAAGCGCAGGAACACGAGGCGAGAGAUGGAGUCCUCGGAGCCCCCGCCAUCUGGCAUUUAUUGAGCCCUUGCUGGCUUUGGCAGGCAACGCUGACCAGGGAGCUGCUGUUGUGCCGCGUGGUAGCUGUUCCUCCUGGGAGCGCCACAUCACAGAAGUAUAAUGAGAUUGACACAUUUCUAAAUGGAGGGCCACAUUUUCUUUCACCUUGUACUGAGACAGUUGAGCAAUACCCCGGCCAAAACAAAAGCC
rnacentral:lncRNA from 1 species